UCUGAUUUUCUUUAGAUAUUAUAAGUGUGUCACUCCUAUAUUUACGGUAACUACUAUAUUGCCUUCUAUAAAUUUCACCCCUUUAUUAUAAAUUUUUCCAUUUAGUUAUUGAUAUCCCAUACACGAUUUACUAACCAACAUUUUUUUGAUGUAAUAAUAUAUAAACUCGUGGAUCCAUAGACUAAUCUAUUAUGUAUGUGACCAUAUAUAUUAUAUAAUGUUUAUUUUAAUUCUUAAAUUCAUAUAUCUAUAUAAAACGAAUGGUAUGGUGCAUAUCACCAUUAAAUAAUACAUGCCAUUUGAAUUAAAAUAGUCUGGUAAGUAAUACAUGUAUUUUUAAAAAAAUGAGUUAAUGAAGUAUGAUAAAAAAUUAUCACAAAAUCAUAUUUUACUAUAGAACCGAUCAAAUAUAGUAGUAUAUUAUAGUAUUUUCAGUUCAUAAAAAAUGAUAUUAACAUAUAAGUACUGAACAAAUUUGAAAAAAUGCAUAUGAAAUUAGUUAAAAAUUAUCCUCAGGCCAACUUAUUUAAUUGAGUUUUUACUAUAAUUCAUAUACAACCACUUAAACUAUAUUAUGGAAAAUAAAAAAAUACAAAUAAUUUAGAAAAUAUUGCUCCAUAUUCUCUCUUUUUUUUAUAAAAAAAUAAAUUGACUUGAUUUUUACUUAUGAAGCACAAUUACUAAAAUCCAAAAUAGUGAUUAGUAUUUUUUUUGGGCAACAAAUAAUGUUUAGUGUAAAAGAUGCUCAAAUAUAAGUCCACUUUUGUAAUUCAAUUUAAAUAACAAAAUAAAUUUACAAAUAUAAUUAGGUCCAGAAUUAAUAUUUAUAUUAUUUGAGUUUUAAGCUUGUAGGUUUCCGCGGGUUAUUCAAUCAUAUAUUAGAUACAAAACAUAUUGAGAUUAGUAUAAACUCUUCACUAGGUUUGGAAUACCUAAGUUAAACAAGAUUUUUUUCUUUUGAAAAAGUAUUAAUCCCGUGCUUCAAAGCUUGAUUCAAAAGUUUGAAUUGAGUUUUGAAAAAAAUAUCAUCCAAUUUAUAUGGGAUUUUAUCGGGUCAACCAAUAUUGGAUAGAGGGUUAAUGAUAGUUUUUACGUUUUUACCGACUCUUAUCAAAUUUGUAUAUAUAAGGUUUUAAGUCAAUAAAUAACUUUUACUUCAUUUUUUAGUUUUUAAUUUUGUUUGAUAUUCUAAAUUUUCAAUUAAGAAGUUAGGUACUGACAAAAAAAUAAGUUAUGUUUUUUUUUUCACUUUUAUAUUUGUGUUUUUUUUUUUAUUUUGAUGAAGAUUUGCACUAUGUCACCUGAAGAAAAUAAAGUAAACGAUGGUAGAGAGAACCAAAAUUAGUUGAUGUUAUUUGGUGUUAGUUUAUUUCCGUUAUCGAUAAUUUAUUAUAAUGAUCUUUUACUUUUGGUUUAUUUUGUAUUUGUAGUUUAAUUUAUUAUUCACAUUUAAAUAUUUAAAUAUUUAUAAAUUUUAUGUUUUGAUUUAUUUUAAAUGCCAUAACUCCUAUCUUGUCAGAGAAAAUUUUAAAUAGUCUAAACUAUUUUUUUGAUAUUUUGUUUGUCAAAUGAAAAUAAAAAUAUAAAAACCAAAGUUGAGUAUUUUCUAAAUGUUUUUAAACAUAAAAUAUAUACAUAUCCAAACUAUUAUUUUAUGUUUAAAAAGAUAGAAAAUAUUAAACUUUAGUUUCUAUACUUUUAUUUGCAUAGCUGAUAUAUUAUUAUAUAAUAAAUUAAUUAAUUUAUUAACCUACGGUUCACCCGCGGUCGAUCCAGUGACUCAGCAACCCGGUAAUCUAUCCGGUUCAGUGUCCGGGUCGGGUUUAAAAACAUUGGUUUUAACAAAAUUCAGACCAGAUUUAUAUGAAUCACCUGAUUUACUUAUGAGACUGUAGGUUUGGUUCAGGUAUGAAAACACUGCUAAAAUUAUUAAAAAUUCUAAAUAUAUAUACUAUUAGAUUAGCCCAAAAUCUGUCUAGUAAUUUUUUUGUCUCAUCAACUCAACAAAUAUAACUUUUACAAAAUACACACAAAAUGCAACGAUGACGUUGUAACAUAAGAAUACACAUAUAAAAUCUAAAAUAAACUAUUUGAUAAAUUAUAUAAUUUUAAACUAAAAUUCUUUUACUUUUUCGAUAUAAUAACACUUUAUAACUUAAUAAUAUAGUUCAAAAUAUCAAAACCAAAAUAAUAAUUCAUAUCAAACAAUAUUCUUAAUCGAAAAAAAAACCCGCGCUUUUGAAGCGCGGGUUAAAAUCUAGUUUAGUAUUAAUUUUGCUUUUUUAAAAUACUGAUCAAAAUAUAAUUGCAAAAUAUUAUUUGAUAAUAAUUUUUCUUCUAAUGUUGGGACAUGUGUUUAAAUAUAUACUGAUUAAAAAUAUAUAUGAUAAGAUAAUAAAAACGAAUUUUGAAAACUACUUGGGAAAAUUUUACUUUUACACUUUGUUUGAUACCACUAUUCAAUUUUACCACCAAUUUAGGGAUAUUUUCAUAAAUAUCAUUUUCAAUAAUGAACAAAAUAUAAUAGUACCCUUACCUUAUCUUCUACUCAAUCAUCGACUCUUCCUCUCUCUUUUUGAGAUCCAUCUUAUCUUGGACUUACCGUCGAGAUCCCCCGUCUCCGUCGAGAUCCGCCGUCUCCGUCGAGAUCCACCGUUUCUGUCGAGAUCCGCCGUCUCCAUCGAGAUCCGCCAUCUCUCUCUCACACAACCGGCGACGAAAACGGAUUACAGAGAAUCGCGAUUCAAAGCCUUCAAAUGUUGAUUCCUGUUCAAGAUUCACAACUCUUAGACAGUAAUGAAUCUUGCAUGAUUGCCUCCAAGGAUUUAUGAAGCUGUAACAGAACCACUAGACAAUCCAAAAGUGAUUAUCCAAUCGGUGUCUUGGUCAAUAAUUGUUGUGCAAUUAGUUCAACAAGGAUAUAAAAUGAAGAAAAGCUAAGGGGAACGAGGAUUUGUGGUUUUACUUUUUGCAGCAUAUGAUGUAAGGCAAUAACACAUGAAAGAAGAUAAAAAUAAAGAGAAAAGAAAGCUUAAGAGAAAAUAAAAGUUUAUAAAUAAUUUAUAAAAAUAUAUAAAACAGUUUUAAAAGUUUAUAAGCUAUUUAUAAAGGUUUAUAUAUUAUUUGUAAGAGUCUCAAAACCAUUUAUAAAUGUUUAUAAAACAAUUAAUAAAGUCUAUAAAUCAUUUAUAAUUGUUUAUAAAAACGUUAAGAAAGUAUAUACACAAUUAAUAUGGGUUAUGUAUUCAAUUUAUAAGGUUUAUAGGUUUAGGAACCAAUUAGAAAGUCUCUUAAAUAAUUUAUAAGAGUCUAAAGUAAUUUAUAAGGACUUAUAGAAACAAUUUAUAAGAAUUUGUAAAAUUGUGUAUAAGGGUUUAUAAGGAUAUAUAAAUAAUUAAUAAGAGUUUAUAAAUCAUUUAUAAAAAUUACUAAAAACAAUUUCUGAAUUUUAUAAAAAUUUUAAAAAGAGUUUGUAAAAUUGUUCAUAAGGGUUUAUAAGGAUAUAUAAUUAAUUAAUAAGAGUUUAUAAAUCAUUUAUAAAAAUUACUAAAAACAAUUUCUGACUUAUAAAAACAAUUUAUAAGGGUUUGUAAAAUUAUUUAUAAGGGUUUAUAAGGAUAUAUAAAUAAUUAAUAAGAGUUUAUAAAUCAUUUAUAAAAACUACUAAAAACAAUUUCUGAAUUUUAUAAACCUUUUAAAAAGGUUUA